GACGAACCGUCCGAACGUUAUUCGGAAUCACUGGGCUUAAAGGGUGCGUAGGCGGCGCGGAAAGUUGGGUGUGAAAUCCCUCGGCUUAACCGAGGAACUGCGCCCAAAACUACCGUGCUUGAGGGAGAUAGAGGUGAGCGGAACUCCUGGUGGAGCGGUGAAAUGCGUAGAUAUCAGGAGGAACACCGGUGGCGAAGGCGGCUCUCUGGUCCACAACUGACGCUGAGGUGCGAAAGCUAGGGGAGCAAACGGG
rnacentral:rRNA from 1 species